rnacentral:sRNA from 1 species
UUAAUCUUGACAAGCAGAUUUUCUAUUAGACCAUGUGGAUGUGCAACAUAACCAUCAGGUAAAAGUAAAGCUAAGUUGCAGAACUUGUAUUCCAUGAUCCCUAGCCUUUUAGCUGUAGAGAGAGGCAUAAGGUUAACAGAUGCACCCAAUCACAAAGGCACGUAUUGAAUGUCAAUGGUCCUAGAGAGCAUGGCAGAGUGAAUGAACCGGGAUCAUCAAGCUUUUCUUGGAUGACUUUCUUCUUGUAUGUUUCUUGGGUGGAGGCACUGCUAAUCAUCUCUUGAUUCUGGUCCUUCUUGAGUUUUUCAAUUUUGAACUUUUUCCAGAAUGGUGAGUAUUCAGCAAAGGUGUGUGCUCUAUAGUCCGGAUGAAUUGUUGGGUGGCAGGUGCAGCAAUUUGAGUUGAAUCCCCCCUUCUUGAAUCAUAAUGUCCUCAGUAUUGAGAGUCUAAUGACUUGAUGGAGACUCAUCUUCAUGGUGGAUAGUGAUAGCAUUAGCAGUAGCAUAGUCCUUAGGAUUCUGGACUGCUUUCCCUGGAAGUUGUUGAGGGUGCUUCGGAGCAGAGGUUGAUGCAAAUUGACUCUCCACAUACUUGAUUUUUGAGUUCAAAGCUUCGAAUUUGACAUUUAAAUCA